CGCGGCCUAUCAGCUUGUUGGUGGGGUAGUGGUCUACCAAGGCGACGACGGGUAGCCGGCCUGAGAGGGUGACCGGCCACACUGGGACUGAGACACGGCCCAGACUCCUACGGGAGGCAGCAGUGGGGAAUAUUGCGCAAUGGGCGAAAGCCUGACGCAGCGACGCCGCGUGGGGGAUGACGGCCUUCGGGUUGUAAACCUCUUUCAGCAGGGACGAAGCCGCGAGGUGACGGUACCUGCAGAAGAAGCACCGGCCAACUACGUGCCAGCAGCCGCGGUAAUACGUAGGGUGCAAGCGUUGUCCGGAAUUAUUGGGCGUAAAGAGCUCGUAGGCGGUUUGUUGCGUCGGCUGUGAAAUCCCGAGGCUCAACCUCGGGUCUGCAGUCGAUACGAGCAAACUAGAGUGUUGCAGGGGAGACUGGAAUUCCUGGUGUAGCGGUGAAAUGCGCAGAUAUCAGGAGGAACACCGGUGGCGAAGGCGGGUCUCUGGGCAACAACUGACGCUGAGGAGCGAAAGCGUGGGGAGCGAACAGGAUUAGAUACCCUGGUAGUCCACGCCGUAAACGUUGGGCGCUAGGUGUGGGGCUCAUUCCACGAGUUCCGUGCCGCAGCUAACGCAUUAAGCGCCCCGCCUGGGGAGUACGG
rnacentral:rRNA from 1 species